GGGCCAUUAGCUCAGUUGGCUAGAGCGCCUGCUUUGCAAGCAGGAGGUCGUGGGUUCGAGUCCCACAUGGUCCA
rnacentral:tRNA from 1 species